UACGUAGGGGGCAAGCGUUGUCCGGAUUUAUUGGGCGUAAAGAGCGUGUAGGCGGCCAUACAGGUCAGCUGUGAAAACUCGAGGCUCAACCUCGAGACGUCGGUCGAAACCGUGUGGCUAGAGUCCGGAAGAGGAGAGUGGAAUUCCCGGUGUAGCGGUGAAAUGCGCAGAUAUCGGGAAGAACACCCGUGGCGAAGGCGGCUCUCUGGGACGGUACUGACGCUGAGACGCGAAAGCGUGGGGAGCGAACAGG
rnacentral:rRNA from 1 species